GUGAACGCUGGCGGUAGGCCUAACACAUGCAAGUCGAACGGCAGCACAGUAAGAGCUUGCUCUUACGGGUGGCGAGUGGCGGACGGGUGAGGAAUACAUCGGAAUCUACUUUUUCGUGGGGGAUAACGUAGGGAAACUUACGCUAAUACCUCAUACGACCUACGGGUGAAAGCAGGGGAUCUUCGGAUCUUGCGCGAUUGAAUGAGCCGAUGUCGGAUUAGCUAGUUGGCGGGGUAAAGGCCCACCAAGGCGACGAUCCGUAGCUGGUCUGAGAGGAUGAUCAGCCACACUGGAACUGAGACACGGUCCAGACUCCUACGGGAGGCAGCAGUGGGGAAUAUUGGACAAUGGGCGCAAGCCUGAUCCAGCCAUACCGCGUGGGUGAAGAAGGCCUUCGGGUUGUAAAGCCCUUUUGUUGGGAAAGAAAAGCAGCAGGUUAAUACCCCGCUGUUCUGACGGUACCCAAAGAAUAAGCACCGGCUAACUUCGUG
rnacentral:rRNA from 1 species